rnacentral:tRNA from 1 species
UAUGGCAGAUUAGUGCAUUGGACUUAAACUCCUAUAAUAAAGAUUUUAAUUAUUCUUUUAUUAAAA